GAUGAAGAACGUAGCGAAAUGCGAUAGGUAAUGUGAAUUGCAGAAUUCAGUGAAUCAUCGAAUCUUUGAACGCACAUUGCGCCCCCUGGUAUUCCGGGGGGCAUGCCUGUCCGAGCGUCAUUGCUGCCCUCAAGCACGGCUUGUGUGUUGGGCCCCGCCCCCCGGCUCCCGGGGGGCGGGCCCGAAAGGCAGCGGCGGCACCGCGUCCGGUCCUCGAGCGUAUGGGGCUUCGUCACCCGCUCCGUAGGCCCGGCCGGCGCCCGCCGGCGACCCCCCUCAAUCUUUUCAGGUUGACCUCGGAUCAGGUAGGGAUACCCGCUGAACUUAAGCAUAUCAAUAAGCGGAGGA
rnacentral:misc_RNA from 1 species